rnacentral:rRNA from 1 species
UACGGGGGGGGCAAGCGUUGUUCGGAAUUACUGGGCGUAAAGGGCGCGUAGGCGGCUCUGUAAGUCGGAUGUGAAAACUCGGGGCUCAACCCCGAGACGCCAUCCGAUACUGCUGUGGCUUGAGUCUGGUAGGGGAGAACGGAAUUCCUGGUGUAGCGGUGAAAUGCGCAGAUAUCAGGAGGAACACCGGUGGCGAAGGCGGUUCUCUGGGCCAGUACUGACGCUGAGGAGCGAAAGCGUGGGUAGCAAACAGG